rnacentral:rRNA from 8 species
UACGCCCGAUCUCGUCCGAUCUCGGAAGCUAAGCAGGGUCGGGCCUGGUUAGUACUUGGAUGGGAGACCGCCUGGGAAUACCAGGUGCUGUAAGCUUUU